rnacentral:rRNA from 1 species
GGGGGAUAUUGCGCAAUGGGGGCAACCCUGACGCAGCAACGCCGCGUGAAGGAUGAAGGUUUUCGGAUUGUAAACUUCUUUUAUUAAGGACGAGAAAUGACGGUACUUAAUGAAUAAGCUCCGGCUAACUACGUGCCAGCAGCCGCGGUAAUACGUAGGGAGCAAGCGUUGUCCGGAUUUACUGGGUGUAAAGGGUGCGUAGGCGGCUUUGCAAGCCAGAUGUGAAAUCUAUGGGCUCAACCCAUAAACUGCAUUUGAAACUGUAGAGCUUGAGUGAAGUAGAGGCAGGCGGAAUUCCCCGUGUAGCGGUGAAAUGCGUAGAGAUGGGGAGGAACACCAGUGGCGAAGGCGGCCUGCUGGGCUUUAACUGACGCUGAGGCACGAAAGCGUGGGUAGCAAACAGGAUUAGAUACCCUGGUAGUCCACGCUGUAAACGAUGAUUACUAGGUGUGGGGGGUCUGACCCCUUCCGUGCCGGAGUUAACACAAUAAGUAAUCCACCUGGGGAGUACGGCCGCAAGGUUGAAACUCAAAGGAAUUGACGGGGGCCCGCACAAGCAGUGGAGUAUGUGGUUUAAUUCGAAGCAACGCGAAGAACCUUACCAGGUCUUGACAUCCAACUAACGAAGUAGAGAUACAUUAGGUGCCCUUCGGGGAAAGUUGAGACAGGUGGUGCAUGGUUGUCGUCAGCUCGUGUCGUGAGAUGUUGGGUUAAGUCCCGCAACGAGCGCAACCCUUGCUAUUAGUUGCUACGCAAGAGCACUCUAAUAGGACUGCCGUUGACAAAACGGAGGAAGGUGGGGACGACGUCAAAUCAUCAUGCCCCUUAUGACCUGGGCUACACACGUACUACAAUGGAUGUUAACAGAGGGAAGCAAGACAGCGAUGUGGAGCAAACCCCUAAAAACAUUCUCAGUUCAGAUUGCAGGCUGCAACCCGCCUGCAUGAAGAUGGAAUUGCUAGUAAUCGCGGAUCAGCAUGCCGCGGUGAAUACGUUCCCG